rnacentral:rRNA from 1 species
UACAGAGGUCUCAAGCGUUGUUCGGAUUCAUUGGGCGUAAAGGGUGCGUAGGCGGCUUGUCACGUCUGCUGUGAAAACUCGGGGCUCGAACCCCGAGCCUGCAGUGGAUACGGGCUAGCUAGAGUGCGGUAGGGGAGACUGGAAUUCCUGGUGUAGCGGUGAAAUGCGUAGAUAUCAAGAGGAACACCGGAGGUGAAGACGGGUUGCUGGGCUGACACGUGACGCUGAGGCGCGAAAGCUAGGGUAGCAACGGG